AAACCCUGACACCUGAAAAGGACUAGACACCCUGUAGAAAAAUAAAAAGGGUUUCUCUGUGUAGCCCUGGCUGUCCUGGAACUCACUCCAGAUGAAGAACUCUUGAGCUACCAUGUUUGCCUGCUGACCACCAUGUUUCUUACCAUGAUAAUAAUGGAUUAAACCUCUGAAACUGUAAGCAAGCACCAAUGAAAUACUUUCCUUUGUAAGA